rnacentral:tRNA from 1 species
AGGCACGUGGCUUAGUGAUUAGGGCAUUCGGCUCACGACCGUAAGGCCGUGAGUUCAAUUCCCGCUGAGACGU